UCUCAGUUCAGAUUGCAGGCUGCAACUCGCCUGCAUGAAGUCGGAAUUGCUAGUAAUCGCAGAUCAGCAUGCUGCGGUGAAUACGUUCCCGGGCCUUGUACACACCGCCCGUCACACCAUGGGAGUCGGUAACACCCGAAGUCGGUAGCCUAACCGUAAGGAGGGCGCCGCCGAAGGUGGGAUUGAUGACUGGGGUGAAGUCGUAACAAGGUACC
rnacentral:rRNA from 1 species